ACGAACGCUGGCGGCGCGCCUAACACAUGCAAGUCGAACGAGAAAGAGGGAGCUUGCUUCCUCGAUCGAGUGGCGAACGGGUGAGUAACGCGUGAGGAACCUGCCUCAAAGAGGGGGACAACAGUUGGAAACGACUGCUAAUACCGCAUAAGCCCACGGCUCGGCAUCGAGCAGAGGGAAAAGGAGCAAUCCGCUUUGAGAUGGCCUCGCGUCCGAUUAGCUAGUUGGUGAGGUAAUGGCCCACCAAGGCGACGAUCGGUAGCCGGACUGAGAGGUUGAACGGCCACAUUGGGACUGAGACACGGCCCAGACUCCUACGGGAGGCAGCAGUGGGGAAUAUUGCACAAUGGGGGAAACCCUGAUGCAGCGACGCCGCGUGGAGGAGGAAGGUCUUCGGAUUGUAAACUCCUGUUGUUGAGGAAGAUAAUGACGGUACUCAACAAGGAAGAGACGGCUAACUACGUGCCAGCAGCCGCGGUAAAACGUAGGUCACAAGCGUUGUCCGGAAUUACUGGGUGUAAAGGGAGCGCAGGCGGGCGAUCAAGUUGGAAGUGAAAUCCAUGGGCUCAACCCAUGAACUGCUUUCAAAACUGAUUGUCUUGAGUAGUGCAGAGGUAGGCGGAAUUCCCGGUGUAGCGGUGGAAUGCGUAGAUAUCGGGAGGAACACCAGUGGCGAAGGCGGCCUACUGGGCACCAACUGACGCUGAGGCUCGAAAGUGUGGGUAGCAAACAGGAUUAGAUACCCUGGUAGUCCACACCGUAAACGAUGAUUACUAGGUGUUGGAGGAUUGACCCCUUCAGUGCCGCAGUUAACACAAUAAGUAAUCCACCUGGGGAGUACGACCGCAAGGUUGAAACUCAAAGGAAUUGACGGGGGCCCGCACAAGCAGUGGAGUAUGUGGUUUAAUUCGACGCAACGCGAAGAACCUUACCAAGUCUUGACAUCCUGCGACGAUGCUAGAAAUAGUAUUUUCCUUCGGGACGCAGAGACAGGUGGUGCAUGGUUGUCGUCAGCUCGUGUCGUGAGAUGUUGGGUUAAGUCCCGCAACGAGCGCAACCCUUAUGGUCAGUUACUACGCAAGAGGACUCUGGCCAGACUGCCGUUGACAAAACGGAGGAAGGUGGGGAUGACGUCAAAUCAUCAUGCCCUUUAUGUCUUGGGCUACACACGUACUACAAUGGUCGGAAACAGAGGGAAGCGAAGCCGCGAGGUGGAGCGAAACCCAUAAAACUGUUCUCAGUUCGGACUGCAGUCUGCAACUCGACUGCACGAAGAUGGAAUCGCUAGUAAUCGCGAAUCAGCAUGUCGCGGUGAAUACGUUCUCGGGCCUUGUACACACCGCCCGUCACACCAUGAGAGUUGGGAAUACCCGAAGCCUGUGAGCUAACCUAUGAGGCAGCAGUCGAAGGUAGAGCCAAUGAUUGGGGUG
rnacentral:rRNA from 1 species